rnacentral:rRNA from 1 species
CCUACGGGUGGCAGCAGUGAGGAAUAUUGGUCAAUGGACGAGAGUCUGAACCAGCCAAGUAGCGUGAAGGAUGACUGCCCUAUGGGUUGUAAACUUCUUUUAUAUGGGAAUAAAAUGUUCGACGUGUGGGAUUUUGUAUGUACCAUAUUAAUAAGGAUCGUCUAAGUCCGGUCCAGCAGCCGCGGUAAGACGGAGGAUCCGAGCGUUAUCCGGAUUGAUUGGGUUUAAGGGGAGCGUAGGUGGAUUGUUAAGUCAGUUGUGAAAGUUUCCGGCUCAACCGUAAAAUUGAAGUUGAAACUGGCAGUUUUGAGUCCAGUAGAGGUGGGCGGAAUUCGUGGUGUGGCGGUGAAAUGCU